AACGAACGCUGGCGGCAUGCCUAACACAUGCAAGUCGAACGAGACCUUCGGGUCUAGUGGCGCACGGGUGCGUAACGCGUGGGAAUCUGCCCUUCGGUUGGGAAUAACUGAGAGAAAUUUCAGCUAAUACCUUAUAAUGUCUUCGGACCAAAGAUUUAUCGCCGAGGGAUGAGCCCGCGUAGGAUUAGGUAGUUGGUGGGGUAAUGGCCCACCAAGCCGACGAUCCUUAGCUGGUCUGAGAGGAUGAUCAGCCACACUGGGACUGAGACACGGCCCAGACUCCUACGGGAGGCAGCAGUGGGGAAUAUUGGACAAUGGGCGAAAGCCUGAUCCAGCAAUGCCGCGUGAGUGAUGAAGGCCUUAGGGUUGUAAAGCUCUUUUACCCGGGAUGAUAAUGACAGUACCGGGAGAAUAAGCUCCGGCUAACUCCGUG
rnacentral:rRNA from 1 species